rnacentral:rRNA from 1 species
UACGUAGGGUGCAAGCGUUGUCCGGAAUUAUUGGGCGUAAAGAGCUCGUAGGCGGUUUGUUGCGUCGGCUGUGAAAUCCCGAGGCUCAACCUCGGGUCUGCAGUCGAUACGAGCAAACUAGAGUGUUGCAGGGGAGACUGGAAUUCCUGGUGUUGCGGUGAAAUGCGCAGAUAUCAGGAGGAACACCGGUGGCGAAGGCGGGUCUCUGGGCAACAACUGACGCUGAGGAGCGAAAGCGUGGGGAGCGAACAGG